rnacentral:ncRNA from 1 species
AGGUUCGGUUGGUGCGUCUAUCCGGGUCGGGGCGCGUAAGCCGCCCAGCCUCAUCCCGCUCGCUUGCCGAGCAGGGAGUGCUAGCGCACGGGUGAGGGAACCAACAACAGCCUCGGGCAACCGUGCCCGAGGCUGUUUACGAGCACCAACUGGAUACU